AGAGAUUAACACUUUCCAACUCUGAUUAUGAGAAGGUGUUGUAGUAAGACUAUUCCUUGUUCUGGUACCAAAAUGUGAAAUCAACUUCCAAAAUGAUGCCCUUUUCACAUUAAAUUAAAUUGUUUUACUUGCUAAUUAAGUUGCUGACCAAGAACGUACCAACCUUUUUAAAAAGGACGAGAUUAGACUGUCUGGGGGUAAGAAUCUCAUCACUGGAUUUUCCAUUCUACAUUUAACAAUCUUAAAUGUUAUAGAUACUAAAGUAGGGUUUGUCGGAGUGCGUAAAAUAACUGAAGACAUUUUUCUCCAUUUUUAUUGCAUUGUCCUAUCCCCACUAUCUGCUAUUGUCCUACAAACACUGCACCACAUGCAGAUUUCUUUAUCCAAUCUAUUAAUCUGCUUUUUUUCUGCUGUAAAUGUUCUAAUGCACCAAAUAUAACCCAAACUUUUUUCUUUUUUCUUUUUUUUUUUAAGUCUAAAUUACAAACCUGUUAAUCAUUGAACGUCUCGGCUGGCUACAGUCUUGAUGUGUAGCAGGCAGAAUUUCUCCUCAUGCUUUUUACCAAAGUAUCAGCUUUGAAGUUCUUUUUAUACUAACCUUUGUUUCCACCUUUCCUUUUCAGGCCUCUGGGAACCACACCUUUGUCCACCUGAAGUGAGUUGUCUCUGGGGGGGCAGUUGGAGUUAAAACAAUCUUGCUGUCGACAAUCUGAACUUAUCCUUGGCAACCACUGCGGUACCAUUAGCACUUCAGAAUAAAAACAGAACUCAUGCAAACCCAGUCAAACCCCAUGGAUCCUACCUGCUGAGGAAAACUGAAGUUACUGAUAAGCUAGAGUUUCCAUGGGUUGCCGCUGCUUCUGGAAGGUUUAGAGGCGUUAAGUCAUUGCAUGUUAGUCUUUUUGGCAUGAACUUAGAUCACAGAUUUCUGUGUAUCCUAAUUUUCUUAGUGUUUGUGUUGCCAUUUGGCCUAGACAGCAAAAUGUUUUUUUUGUUCCUGUAGAUCCUUUGGUCUUUUACCUCUGUGUAAGCUAGGCUGUUGUGUAAAUGGCUUAUCUCGCAUGGACCCUGUGAAUGCAUCCCUUCGUUUGAACAAUCCCAUGCCUCUUUAUCAGUGUAUGUCAUUAUUUGAGCAAAGUGCAAAUUUUUUGUACUUUUUGCGUAAUGUAUAUUUAUGCAUUUUUGUGCAACUAAAUAAUGAACCUAUAUAAGUUGGAUGUUUAGUAGUCUCUUGUGUUUGGUAAUUUUUGAACCUAUAUCCUGUUGAAGUAGUUUUAAAAGUGCAAUUUGUUUAAAGGGGACGUUGGAAUUGGCUCGUGCCAUUCUGCUAAAAUGAGAUUGCCGUAAAACAAUCUUUCAGAAUGUGAAACUGAACUACAAAUGUAAAGGGUUGCUUUUUUUGGAGGGGGGUGGGCAUUUUGAAGGGGGUAGCAGGAUUAGACUGAUGAAGGAAUUUAGUUUGUGGUUUAGAAAAUGUUUGUUCUUGUAUCUGCUGUACAUAAGAUGUUAAAAAAAAAUCCCAUCUUAUGAAUAAAAGUGAAUGCAUCCUUG